UACGAAGGGUGCAAGCGUUAAUCGGAAUUACUGGGCGUAAAGGGUGCGUAGGCGGUUGUUUAAGUCUGCCGUGAAAUCCCCGGGCUCAACCUGGGAAUGGCGGUGGAUACUGGGCAGCUAGAGUGUGUCAGAGGAUGGUGGAAUUCCCGGUGUAGCGGUGAAAUGCGUAGAGAUCGGGAAGAACAUCGGUGGCGAAAGCGCUCUACUGGACCGCAACUGACACUCAGGGACGAAAGCUAGGGGAGCGAAUGGG
rnacentral:rRNA from 1 species